GGAAGUAAAGGUCGUAACAAGGUCUCCGUUGGUGAACCAGCGGAGGGAUCAUUGCUGAAUAUCCGUAUUCGCCACCCUUUGUGAAUAUAUACCUAUCUCGUUGCCUCGGCGCCAGGCCCGGGGUUCCCCCCUAGGGGGUUCCCCCCACCUGUGGACCUCACGGUCCCGGGCGGAGCAGGCCCGCCGGCGGCCCACCAAAACUCUUGUUUGUAGAACCUAUCUCUCCGAGUCUCAUACGUAAAAUGAAUCAAAACUUUCAACAACGGAUCUCUUGGCUCUG
rnacentral:misc_RNA from 1 species